GACGUAGGGCGCGAGCGUUGUCCGGAUUUAAUUGGGCGUAAAGAGCUCGUAGGCGGCUUGUCGACGGUCUUCGUCGAAAACCUGCAGACUCAACUGCAGGCUUGCGGGCGAUACGGGCAGGCUAGAGUUCGGUAGGGGAGACUGGAAUUCCUGGUGUAGCGGUGAAAGUGCGCAGAUAUCAGGAGGAACACCGGUGGCGAAGGCGGGUCUCUGGGGACCGAUGACUGACGCUGGAGGAGCGAAAGCCGUGGGGAGCGAACAGG
rnacentral:rRNA from 1 species